rnacentral:rRNA from 1 species
UCGGGAAUUUUGGGCAAUGGGCGAAAGCCUGACCCAGCAACGCCGCGUGAAGGAUGAAGUAUUUCGGUAUGUAAACUUCGUAAGAAUAGGAAGAAUAAAUGACGGUACUAUUUGUAAGGUCCGGCUAACUACGUGCCAGCAGCCGCGGUAAUACGUAGGGACCAAGCGUUGUUCGGAUUUACUGGGCGUAAAGGGCGCGUAGGCGGUGUGUCAAGUCAGUUGUGAAAUCUCCGAGCUUAACUCGGAACGGUCAACUGAUACUGUCACACUAGAGUACAGAAGGGGCAAUCGGAAUUCUUGGUGUAGCGGUGAAAUGCGUAGAUAUCAAGAGGAACACCUGAGGCGAAGGCGGGUUGCUGGGCUGAUACUGACGCUGAGGCGCGAAAGCUAGGGUAGCAAACGGGAUUAGAUACCCUUGUAGUCCCUGAGCGGGCUGGCAAGGCGCAU